rnacentral:tRNA from 2 species
CUGGGUAUAGCGCAGAUGGUAGCGUGCAUGCAUGGGGUGCAUGAGGUCGCAGGUUCAAGUCCUGUUACUCAGACCA